rnacentral:rRNA from 1 species
GACGAACCGUCCUAACGUUGUUCGGAAUCACUGGGCUUAAAGGGCGCGUAGGCGGCUUGCCAAGUCCGGGGUGAAAUCCUGCAGCUUAACUGUAGAAGGGCCUUGGACACUGGCGAGCUCGAGGGAGGUAGGGGUAUGUGGAACUUCCGGUGGAGCGGUGAAAUGCGUUGAUAUCGGAAGGAACGCCGGUGGCGAAAGCGACGUACUGGACCUCUUCUGACGCUGAGGCGCGAAAGCUAGGGGAGCAAACGGG